rnacentral:tRNA from 7 species
CAGGAUAUAGGGUAAUUUGGUCACCCACCACAUUUGGGAUGUGGUUCAUGUAGGUUCGAGUCCUGCUAUCCUGA